GACGAACGCUGGCGGCGUGCUUAACGCAUGCAAGUCGAACGGAAAGGCCCUGCUUGCAGGGUACUCGAGUGGCGAACGGGUGAGUAACACGUGGGUGAUCUGCCCUGCACUUCGGGAUAAGCCUAGGAAACUGGGUCUAAUACCGGAUAGGAGCCAUUUUUAGUGUGAUGGUUGGAAAGUUUUUUCGGUGUAGGAUGAGCUCGCGGCCUAUCAGCUUGUUGGUGGGGUAAUGGCCUACCAAGGCGGCGACGGGUAGCCGGCCUGAGAGGGUGGACGGCCACAUUGGGACUGAGAUACGGCCCAGACUCCUACGGGAGGCAGCAGUGGGGAAUAUUGCACAAUGGGCGCAAGCCUGAUGCAGCGACGCCGCGUGGGGGAUGACGGCCUUCGGGUUGUAAACUCCUUUCGCUAGGGACGAAGCUUUUUGUGACGGUACCUAGAUAAGAAGCACCGGCUAACUACGUG
rnacentral:rRNA from 1 species